rnacentral:sRNA from 1 species
GGAGUAGGAUAGUUGCCCUCAUGCUUCCUCAACUGUCGUGAUGCAUAAGCAAUAACCUUCCCACGCUGCAUUAGAACACAACCCAAACCAACUCUCGAGGCAUCAGUAUACACCAUGUAAGGCUGUCCAUGCUCUGGCAAUGCUAACACUGGUGUACUCGUCAACAUCUCCUUCAGGCUCACGAAACCCUCCUCGCACUCCGGUGACCACACAAAAGGAACAUCCUUCCUCGUCAGCUUAGUCAUCGGCUGUGCCAUACUCGCAAACCCCUUGACGAACCUCCUGUAAUACCCUGCCAACCCAAGAAAACUCCUGAUCUCAGUGGCAUUCGUCGGUCUAGGCCAAUCUCUGAUAGCCUCAAUCUUCUCUGGAUCCACUGAAACUCCCUCUGCAGAAACAAUGUGACCCAGAAAACCCAUUUCUCUCUGCCAGAAACUGCACUUACUCAACUUAGCGAACAACUUCUGCUCCCGCAGCUUCUCCAUCACUCUCCUUAGAUGUACCUCAUGCUCCUCAGGACUCUUAGAAUACACCAGAAUGUCAUCAAUAAAGAUGAUCACAAACUCAUCCAAAAACUCCUGGAACACGCUGUUCAUCAACCUCAUGAACGCUGCAGGUGCAUUAGUCAACCCGAAAGGCAUCACCACGAACUCAAAAUGUCCAUAUCUUGUCCUGAAAGCAGUCUUGCGAACAUCUGCCUCCGCUAUCGGGAUCUGGUGAUAACCCGACGUCAAAUCGAUUUUGGAGAAACAAGUACCACC